rnacentral:lncRNA from 1 species
CAUGUCACCACAGUGGUGACCCUUCUCUCUGACUCAUUUCCCAUUAUGAGCACAAUUAGCGUGCAGCAUGUGUCCUGGGAGAUUAAUGAUCCGCUGGAGGGAAGAAAGAGGAACUUGGGGAAUGGAUCUGGGUGUAGUCAGAGCUCGCCUCUCCCUGGGAGCUGCCUUGGUGCUGUAAAGGAUCUCAUGUCUUUUGCCAGCUUUGAUGAAACUUGCUAGUUGGAAAGCAGAGUGAAAUCUCAGGCUCUACAACUCUUGACAUAAGUAUUUUAUUCAUUUUUGGUGUCUAUGUUCUUGAAGUACUUAAGAGAUUUGGGGCUAUGCAAGUAAUAGACCAACUUUGUGAUUCAUAUUAAAAUUAAGUGAUUUAAACGCAGGAUUUUUAAUUUGAAAUUAUUUAAGUUUAUAAACAGUAUGGGAACAUUUAGAAAGACCUGGAUUCAUUCUGUUUAUAAUUGUAAUCCAUUAAAUUUAUGAAAAUUACCUAAGAAAUCUGAAAAGGUUUGGUUUAGCCAUCAGGCAAUUGAAGUACCUAAACAAGGAAAUAAAAUAUAUUAAAUUUAUAAAUCUUACUUUAAAUGUUUGAAUGAGUUAAAUAACUCCGUUUGUAUUGGGACCAAACUCUUUAACUCUUUAAGACUGCCUUAAAUCAUUUUGUUAAAAAUCUUAGAUUGAUUUCCACUUCUAUGUAGAGAGUUAGAAAGUAUAUCACCUCUACCCUAACAACAAGAAUAUGACAAAUGAAAUACAAAAUGAUAAUGUUCCUUGAACUCAUCAGAGGACUGACAUCACAGGGCAACUAAGCAACUAGAAUUCCAAAGAAGGACAAGCCCCUCCAAAGACAGGAAGCAUGAGGGCAGGCUCAUCAGUGUCAGAGCAGGGGAGACCAGCACAGACACCUUACAAGCAGAAUGACCUUCUGUGGCUACAGAGAAAGGCUUCAGGCAAAGAGAUGCAGCUCUGGGCCCCAGAGUCCGCUGGAGCACACUGAAGCUGGAGCACACUGAAGUGGAAGAUGGGGCUGCAGACAGAGACUGGGCAGCCUCUGCUCCAGGGAGGCCCGAGAGCCAGAGAGCAGAUUCCAUAAGAAGAAUAACUCCCAUUCCUCAUGCAUGAGACCCUCUGCUAAAUGCUUCCUGUGCACCACCUCCAGAAAUCCUCCCAAGCCAGGACACCAGCAGUAUUACAGGUAAGAAAAUGGAGGCUCCCAGAGAUUUGACAACCUGCCCGCAGCAAUGACCAAAUCAGACUUGGUGCUAAGUCUGCACCUCCCCAAAGAACUGGAUGACAAAAAGAAGAGCCGAUAUAACCAGGAACCUACUCUGGCCACCCCAAGUGCUCCGCAUCAAGACUCAGCUGCAGAGAUGACUUCAGUGCAAGUCACAUACACACCAUUGGGCUGGUACCCGUGGCAGCUCUGCAGGGCUUCCAUAUUGGUCAUGGAUUUGGAUGGUGAGAAGAGCUGAGACAGACGGCACAGGUUCUCAGGAUGCUUGAGGCAGGCUGAGCUCCACGAGCAGAGACCAGGCUGAUGCAUGCUCCACAUCUUGCAUGCUUUGCUUAAAGAAUGAGCGAAAGGAGUAAAUGAAAUUGGUUCUUUCAAAGCAACAAGAACAUUUGUGACAUAUCUGCUAAGGUGGUGAGGGACAAAGAUGAAGGACUGCAGAGCUGUCUCAUAGGCUCCUUUGAGCAAAGCAUUCCUCCUCCAGGUUGAUUGAGAAUCAUCCAGGGAGAUGGGGGAAAUUCUGCCUUCACAAAGUUUCAG